rnacentral:rRNA from 1 species
UACGGAGGAUGCAAGCGUUGUCCGGAUUCAUUGGGUUUAAAGGUGCGUAGGCGGAGAAUUAAGUCAGUGGUGAAAGCUCGCAGCUUAACUGUGAAAAUGCCAUUGAAACUGAUUUUCUUGAGUUCGAUUGAGGUAGAUGGAAUGUAUCAUGUAGCGGUGAAAUGCUUAGAUAUGAUACAGAACACCAAUUGCGAAGGCAGUCUACUAAGUCGAUACUGACGCUGAGGCACGAAAGCAUGGGAGCAAACAGG